GACGAACGCUGGCGGCGUGCCUAAUACAUGCAAGUCGAGCGAGACUCUUCGGAGUCUAGCGGCGGAUGGGUGAGUAACACGUGGGCAACCUGCCUGUAAGACUGGGAUAACACCGGGAAACCGGUGCUAAUACCGGAUAAUCCUUUUCCUCUCAUGAGGAAAAGCUGAAAGUCGGUUUCGGCUGACACUUACAGAUGGGCCCGCGGCGCAUUAGCUAGUUGGUGAGGUAACGGCUCACCAAGGCGACGAUGCGUAGCCGACCUGAGAGGGUGAUCGGCCACACUGGGACUGAGACACGGCCCAGACUCCUACGGGAGGCAGCAGUAGGGAAUCCUCCACAAUGGACGAAAGUCUGAUGGAGCAACGCCGCGUGAGCGAUGAAGGCCUUCGGGUCGUAAAGCUCUGUUGUUAGGGAAGAACAAGUACCGGAGUAACUGCCGGUACCUUGACGGUACCUAACCAGAAAGCCACGGCUAACUACGUGCCAGCCGCCGCCGUAAGAC
rnacentral:rRNA from 1 species